rnacentral:rRNA from 1 species
AAUAUUUCACAAUGGGCGAAAGCCUGAUCCAGCAACGCCGCGUGAUUGAUGAAGGCCUNCGGGUCNUNAAGCUCUUUUCUCAGGGNAGAUAAUGACAGUACCUGAAAAACAAGCCACGGCUAACUCCGUACCAGCAGCCGCGGUAAUACGUAGGUGGCGAGCGUUGUCCGGAAUUACUUGGCGUAAAGGAUGCGUAGGUGGAUAUUUAAGUGGGAUGUGAAAUCCCCGGGCUCAACCCGGGAACUGCAUUCCAAACUGGGUAUCUAGAGUGCAGGAGAGGAAAGCGGAAUUCCUAGUGUAGCGGUGAAAUGCGUAGAUAUUAGGAGGAACACCAGUGGCGAAGGCGGCUUUCUGGACUGUAACUGACACUGAGGCAUGAAAGCGUGGGUAGCAAACAGG